rnacentral:rRNA from 1 species
AAAGCUAGAGCUAAUACGUUCCCACUAUAGCGCGAGUAAUCACGCUCGUGGUGCUAAGUAUUAGGUACAACCCAGUUUUUUCUGGUGAUUCAUACUUAUCGUCUGAUCACACUCUUGUGUGUGUGACGCCCCGAUUAAAUUUCUGACCUAUCAACUAUGAUGGUAAGGUAGGGUCUUACCAUGGUUGUGACGGGUAACGGACCGUGGGUGCGGGAUUCCGGAGAGGGAGCCUGAGAAACGGCUACCACAUCCAAGGAAGGCAGCAGGCGCGCAACUUACCCAAUCCGAACUUCGGGAGGUAGUGACAAAAAAUAUCAAUAGGGGGACCAAUGGUCUUCCUAAUUGGAAUGAAAACAAUGUAAACACCUUAUUGAGGAACCAGCAGAGGGCAAGUCUGGUGCCAGCAGCCGCGGUAAUUCCAGCCCUGUAAGCGUAUACCAAAGUUGUUGUAGUUAAAACGCUCGUAGUCGAAUUUUGGCGUGUGCUUCUGAGACCCCUGAUGGGUGUCGAAGGUUAUGCCGCGCCUUUGUGGAGGGGGGUGUGGUGGUACUUUAUUGUAUUGCUGCAUUUCUGCCACUGUUUACUGUGAAAAAAUUAGAGUGUUCAAAGCGAGCGAUUGCCAUGAAUACAUUAGCAUGGAAUAAUAGA